CUCACCCUGAACUCAUUUCUGGCCCAACCCCAGAGCCUGCACCCCAAUUUCAUGAGCAUUCAUGGCCCGCCCUACACUUUCCAUACCUAGAUGUGACCCUCGGGCCACAAAGUUUGCCCACCCCUGCACUAGAGGAAGGAUAGUAGGGAUAUAGCUAAAAUAAGUAUUCAAGAGGGUAGCACAUAAUGAAAAAAGGAAAUGAGAUCAAGAAAGUUAGUCUACUAGGCAUCCCACUUGCUAAAGAAUCCCCGGUAACACUACUUCAUCUCUCACUCCCUUAGUAAUUUCACUUUUUAGAUGUUACAGAAACAAAAACUAGAAGAGGGAAUUUUGACUUGGCUAAAAGGUUUUCUGACAACCAUUUCCCCUUCCAAUGUGGCAGUGUAAUCACCACAAUAAAGUUCCAUUUAAUCAUGACGUGGCCAGCUGAUUUUAAAUCUCAUUUUGAGCAUCAUUAUGUGCUUGAAUUAUAUUUAAGCCUCUACAGGCCCCUGCUCCAAUUCAGUGAGCAUCUUCCUUAGAAAAAAGCAAGUCAAGAUAAACCAGAGGGGAAGCCUAACAGGUGGAAAAACUGAAAAUGGCCUAGUCUUCACUGAGAUUUGAACAUGUGUUAUUCUGUGGGGAUUACUUCACUACAGGUUCUUAACUCAGAUGCUGCUCCCAUCCACGCACGGACAUCUGACUCAACUUCACUGAUGUUUCCAACCCAGGCUAGCUGUCUCUCUUAAGCCCAAGUGAAACUUGCAAAUCAGGCUGGUAACCUGCUCAUGUUGUAGUGAGGACACAGGAUAAACCACUCUAGUGCUGAGGGAAAGGCAUCAGAGGCCAAUUCUCUUUGCAUGCCCAGGAGGACAGAAGAUCUCUCACACAAUUCAUUGGGAAAGUCACAGCAGCUCAGCUUACUGCAGCACUAAGAACCAUGCUCCCAGAAGUCCUAGUGACACACAUGGGGGAAUGCAACACCAGCGAGGACACAUACUUGGGUAUUGCUGUGCAGUGUGGCUGAUCACCCACGUAACUACAGAGACCCCAAAAAAACAAAAGAAACGUAUUACAACAAAGGAACAGACACUUACAGAACUGCCCAUGCGGGAGAGUGCUUCUUCUGUACGCUCUACUCUGCUACCCUUGGUACUAACAGUGAAUGCUCUGGUGAUGUGACUGCAGAACUCCACCGAGAUACCACAGCUCUGAAAGUAAGAACAGGUUCAAUAUUUGCAGAUAAACACCCACUGAGAUCUUAUGUCUAUCUACAUUGCAUUAUGAAAAAUUCAAAUGGAGAUUGUUUUUUUAAGGUGGAGAAAGUCAAAGGAAUAAGUUUUACUGCAAGAUAUUGAUUCUAAUCAAAUUUCGGCUGUUUUGAAGAGGUCUGAGGAGCAAGAAAUUUCUCUUCUGGGCAUUUAAAAGUUGGCUUUUUGUUUGUUUACAAACAUGGGGAUUUUAGAAUGAGGGAAGAUUCCUCACAGUUUAGAAAAAGCAUCAGGGAAGAGGGUCAGGAAAGUGGACAGCAACAAUUAGCAGCAAGAAUUUAGAGCACUGAAUCACUUGAACUUUUCAAAAGUUCAGUAUACUAAGUAUACAACACCAAGGGGUUUUAAAGGAUGGGGAAUACCAGAAGGUAAAAUGAAGAACUAGUGGCAUCUAAGGAAAAUCCUUAAGACCUGCACAAGUUCCUGAAUGGCUGUUCAGUCUUCCACAGAUUCAGAUAGGAAAAAGAAAAGCAGAGGACAUACGGCUCAGAAGAGAUGAUGGUGCAAGAACUGGAGACACAGAUAACUCCUGCAAGCUGGAGAAGACCAACAUUGUCUUUAUUGUGGGGUAGAGUGGAAGAAUGGCUGGAAGGAGUAUGUUGGAAAGGGACUGGCUUCCAACAACAACAAACCCUUAACACAGAGGUUCUCAAACUGGGACCUAGAGAUAUAUGCUGGUGGUCACGUGAUGCUGGCUUUCCUUACUUCCAGCUGCUAAACCAUAGUAAAAAGCAACUAAAAUACUUUAAGAUCCUUCCUCAGCUCUUAAUACAUACAUCCAAGUCAACAUGAACUUUCUCCAGAAUCCACGACUUCUGCCCAAAGCUACACAUUCCUAGGGCGAAAAAAUCCACACAUACC